rnacentral:rRNA from 1 species
GCGGUUGAGAAUGGCCCAUGGACCUUCGACAAGGAUCUGCUCGUGAUCGAGGAUUUUGAUCCAGCCAAAAACAUUGAUGAAUAUCGCUUCGAGAAGGUACCAAUCUGGGUACGCAUCUACAAUGUUCCCCUUGGCAUGAUGUGCAAGGAACUGGCAGAAGAGAUGGGGGAGCAUAUUGGAGACCUGGUCGAAGUGGAUGCGGGAGAAGAUGGAACGGCCAUAGGUCAGGCGCUCAGGGUGAAGGUUAGGAUUAGGGUCGAUGAGCCAUUGAUGAGGGGCAUGUUCCUGGAUGAUGAAGAAGAUGGUGAUGGGGAUACAAUUGUGAAGGAGCAUGGUAAGAGAAAGGAGGAGGAGGAAAAGAACUAGUGCCAUUUUUAAUACGAGUACCUACCGGACUUCUGCUUCACGUGUGGAAUUAUGGGUCACACUGACCGAGAAUGCAAGAAGAAAUUGAAGAAGGGGGAGGAAGCACAGUAUGGACGCUGGAUGCGG